UACGAAGGGGGCUAGCGUUGCUCGGAAUCACUGGGCGUAAAGGGUGCGUAGGCGGGUCUUUUAAGUCAAGGGGGUGAAAUCCUGGAGCUCAACUCCAGAACUGUCCUUUGAAUACUGAGGUAUCUUGGAGUUCGGGAGAGGUGAGUGGAACUGCGAGUGUAGAGGUGAAAUUCGUAGAUAUCGGAGGAACACCAGUCGGCGAAGGCGGACGAUCUGGGAAGAUACUGACGCUGAGGUGCGGAAAGCGUGGGGAGCAAACAGGG
rnacentral:rRNA from 1 species